rnacentral:lncRNA from 1 species
UAUGGACAGGAGGUGGGGAUUGAACAGGGGGUGGCUGGUAAGUAGGAGGUUUGUGGACGGGAGGUGGGGAUUGAACAGGUGGUGGCGGGUAAGCAGGAGGUGGCGAUUGAAUAGGUGGUGGUUGGUAAGCAGGAGGUGGGGAUUGAACCGGGGGUGGCUGGUAAGCAGGAGGUGGGGAUUGAACCAGGGGUGGCUGAUAAGCAGGAGGUUUGUGGAUAGGAGGUGGGGAUUGAACAGGUGGUGGCUGGUAAGCAGGAGGUGGGGAUUGAACAGGUGGUGUCUGGUAAGCUGGAGGUUUGUGGACAGGAUGUGGGGAUUGAACAGGGGAUGGAUGGUAAGUAGGAGGCUUGUGGACAGGAGGUGGUUGAUAAGUAGGAGGCUUGUGGACAGGAGGUGGCUGGUAAGUAGGAGGCGGGGAUUGAACGGGUGGAGGUUUGUGAACAGGAGGAGGGGAUUGAAUAGGUGGUGGCCAGUAAGCAGGAGGUUUGUGAACAGGAGGUGGGGAUUGAAUAGGGGGUGGUUUAUAAGUAGGAGGUUUGUGGACAGGAGGUGGAGAUUGAACAGGUGGAGGUUUGUGGACAGGAGGUGGGGAUUGAAUAGGUGGUGGCUGGUAAGCAGGAGGUGGGGAUUGAAUAGGUGGUGGUUGGUAAGUAGGAGGUGAGGAUUGAAUAGGUGGUGGCUGGUAAGUAGGAGGUUUGUGGAUAGAAGGUGGGGAUUUAACAGGUGGUGGUUGGUCAGCAGGAGGCUUUUGGAUAGGAGGUGGGGAUUGAACAGGUGGCGGCUGGUAAGCAGGAGGCUUGUGGACAGGAGGUGGAGAUUGAAUAGGUGAUGGCUUGUAAGCAGGUGGUGGCUGGUAAGUAGGAGGGUUAUGAACAGGAGGUGGUGAUUGAACAGGUGGUGGGGUUUGAACAGGUGGACUCGGUGGAGGAUUAUAACUUGGCGGGGACACUGGUGUGGGUGGUUUUUCUAUUGGUGGAGGAGAUACUGGUGGAGGCGGUUUUUCUAUUGGCGGAGGCUUGUAAAUGGGUGAUGGAGACGGUGGUGAUGAUGGGGUUUCAACAGGUGGUAGCUUGUAAGCAGGAGGGUUAUGAACGGGAGGUGGGGUUUGAACAGGUGGUGGCUGGUAAGGAGGAGGGUUAUGACUAGGAGGUGGUUUUCCAAUAGGUGGACUCGGUGGAGGAUUAUAACUUGGUGGAGACACUGGUGUGG